UUUAUUUAAUCCAUUUGAGAAUAAGGCUGCAACAUAAUACAAUUUGGAAAAAUUCAAGGGAUCUGAAUACUUUCAGACUGCACUGUACUGUAGGUGUUAUCGUUGUUUUGUUAGCUUUACUCUGUUAGGUAAGCUAUAAAAAUAACUCCCAGCAAUUUAUUGGGUAAAACACCAACGUUUCGGUUCUCACUGGACCUUCUUCAGGGUGUUUACUCUGUUAGCUGACACAACGUUGAGAUCACAAAACUCUAUUUUAUGAUAGAGGGUGCUACACUGGUUCUUACAAAGCUCAUUGUUUACCAAAUCAUCUGAAACAAUAGCUCUAGUUUAUUCCUAAACCAAACCGGGAAAAGAGAGAUAGACGAUUGUGGCUACAUCACAGACUCAGUUUGUAGUGAGCUUUCCGAUCACUUUGCUCUAUUGAUCCACAGCACAUGUUUAAUGAUGCUAGCCUUCGGUUGUACAGAGCAGAGCUUUGAUGUGUUCUCCGCUGAGCAGUCCUGACCCUGGGCCUGUGCGGGGGGGGGGGUAACUUUAGGUGGUGAAGCCAUAGUCACAAAAAAUAGCAGCUUAAUUACCACACUAAAGGCCAGGGUUCCCUGGGCCAGAACAGAUAAAUUAGCAGAAUUACUCUCCUGCAGUGUCACACUAAUUAUGGAGCAAAGACUCCUCGCCAAAAAAGAUCAUUAACAAAUUAUAUUUUAGAAAGAUAGUUAGGGAGAGGAAAUGGAGUGACGGAGAGAGUGAGGGAGAGAGAAUGAGAGAGAGAACCAUUAAGUGAACAUUUCAGAGUUAAAUCUGCUGGAACGAUGAAAUGUGACUAGCUUGAGUGAGAUUUCUAAUCAGUUUGCGACUGAGCGGGCCAGGUUUGCAUAUGUUGGCAUAUAUCUGUUUAUGUGUGUGUGUGUAGUGCAGAUCUGAGAUGGAGUGUAUCGUAGCCAGACAUCCAUCCGGCAGUUUGUCGUGUGUGUGUUUGUUGUGUGUGUGUUUGCUGCCUGCUCAACCAUGCUAAUUAAAUGCCUCUCUCGCGCACCACAUCUCCUCUGCAGUGGCAGCACUACAGGCAGACAGACAAACACAGAGCAGACAUAGGGGAGCUAUAGCACUCUGUUUAAAACACAGAUGGGGGGGAACUCUGUGUUCUAGAACGUUUAGUUGUAUGGGUUGCACAUGCAUUGUUGUCUCACAUUAUAGACUUACCGUUCUGUGUUGCACAACAUUGUUCAUCCUCAGACUAUGCACCCUGCACUUUUAUCCAAGAACUGCACAUUGAUCUUUGCACUCCCUUCUGUGCUCUGCCACGGACCGACAUAUAUAUUUCCCCCAUUGAACAUCAUUCUGUAAAACUGUUUUAUUUUCAUAUAUCUUUACAUACAUACGUUAUAAUGUAGCGUAUAGUGUUUAUAGUGUAGUCUGUCGUUUUUAGCCUCAGUGUUCAUAGUGCACACUGUAUGUGGAUUGUGUAAAUUCGGUCCGUAUACCCUGUUUAUUGUCUCUCUGUAUAUUAGGUUUAUUGUCGCAGCACCAUUUCACAAAGUCAAAUUCCUGUACAUGCAAAUGUAUUUGGCGAAAAAGGUGAUUCUGAGUCUAACAAAUGCCAGUGUUUUUGUUUGGAUAUACAGUGAAAUGACAAUUUAUGUAAAAUUCAUGAAAAUUGAUUUGAAAAACAUUAGACAUUGGAUGUAUUUUUCUCCUGUAUCCCAGCUCUGUCUGGAUGGCCUGUUGUUCACAGGCUUUCUCUGAGUGCUAUGACUCAUGUCUUGGUCUGUUUUGGGCUUUUUGCUUAUUGUGAGUAAGAAUUCAC
rnacentral:lncRNA from 1 species